rnacentral:rRNA from 1 species
UACAGAGGAGGCAAGCGUUGUUCGGAAUUACUGGGCGUAAAGGGCGCGUAGGCGGCCUGCUAAGUCGAACGUGAAAUCCCUGGGCUUAACCCAGGAACUGCGUCCGAUACUGGUUGGCUUGAAUCCGGGAGAGGGAUGUGGAAUUCCAGGUGUAGCGGUGAAAUGCGUAGAUAUCUGGAGGAACACCGGUGGCGAAGGCGGCAUCCUGGACCGGUAUUGACGCUGAUGCGCGAAAGCCAGGGGAGCAAACGGG